rnacentral:lncRNA from 10 species
CAGGCUGGGCAUAAUGGCACGAUCUCAGCUCACUGCAACCUCUGCCUCCUGGGUUCAAGCGAUUCUCCUGCCUCAGUCUCCUGAGUAGCUGGGACUACAGGUGCAUGUACUUUCUAUAUAAGAUCAUGUUACUUGUGAAUACAGGUCAUUUCGUGUCUUCCUUUACCAUGUGGAUGCCUUUUGUUUCGUUUUCCUGUCCUGGUGCCCUGACUGAAACCUCCAGUUCAAUGUUAAAAAGAAGAGUCUACAAGACUGCAGCUGAGAGCAGAGAACCACAGAAGCAAAUUGCUGAAAGCUCUGUAACUGAGAACCAGAGAUAGAUGUCCCCAGUUCCUCCCCGCAAGACAAGGCACUCUUAUAGAUGCUGUCAGAAAUGAACUGGACAAGGAUCCUACUACCAGUGGAAUCUACAUUCUAGAGAUGCUGUGCCUACCACUAUGGGAUUUAAGGUGCCAUAAGACAGACUUGCUGGCUAUAGUUUAAUGCAAAAAAAAAAAAGCAUAAAGAGUGGUGACUGUCCAAAUAGUAUGCAGAAAAAAGUUUAAGGAAUAAAAACAAGAAGAUAAGAUUGAAUUAACGUUAGGAUUAUAUAAAAGUUUCAUCUAAGUAGGGCAGAUACAUAUUAUAAAAAAGUAUGUAUUAUAUAUAUAGUAUAUCUCUCUAUACACUAGACACAUGUAUCUAUCUAUACACUAGACACUGACAUGCAUAAUAUAUAUAGUCUAUAUAAAUGCAUAUGCUACACAUACAUAUAUAUUCAUGCAUACAUAAAUGUGUCUAUCUUAAUCCAUUACUUAAUAAAUAACCUUGGAAAAUUUACUUAACCUCCAUUUCUCUCAUCAGUUAAAUGGGGCUGGUAAUAGCACGUUAACUGUAGGGUUUUGUUGGGAAGCUUGAGUGAAGCACUAAAACCACUCUCUGAUCUCGAGUAAGCCCACAAAGUGAAGUCCAUGUUGUUAUUAUCACUGCUGUCAUUACACUGUGCCAGGUCAUGCUCACAAUAAUUUUCCUAUACAAUAAAUUGCAAAUUCCAACAUUUCUAAGCAUCCUCUGCCUUUAUUCUAGGAAUUAUUAAUUUAAAAAUUACAAAAAUUAAGUAAUAAAAUGUAUGAAACAAGAAAAAAAUGACUUUUCUAAGUAAAGUCACUGCCCCUUCCACUGCGGAAUGGAGACUUGAGUUUCUCCAUCUCUCCUCAGUUGGUGUUAUGCCCAGCUUGUCUGCAGAUGAUGUCUCCAUGGCAUAUUCACCCAUACAGGGUCAACAGCUACAAGGAGAAAUUAUAUCUGAGAACUGAUCAGAACUAGUUAUAGCAUCAUGAAACCAAUACAGAUGGUAGUAUGAUCUGCUUACUUUAAGGAUGUUCUUAAAACAGGAUUUUAAAACUGUAUCAUCUUCUCUCCUGCUAGAAGAUAUCAGAAGAGUUAGCCAACACCACAUCAUUAAACUGAAUAACGAGACAGCUAAAGCGAAGUUAUCUGUGUGGGCAGUCAUUUUGGACUGCUCCGUUGAUAGUACCAUAUGUUAGCUACAGUUGGCAUUCUACAAGGAAUUGCAAAUGUUUACAGUUACUCUGAGGGAAAGAUUCUUUGUGUUGUAGCAUUUGGCAUGUGGAGAAGUUUGCCAAGAAAAGAUGACAUGAAAGCAUAUUUUAUCAAGUCUAUUUUUCUGUAGUAUUCCUCCAUAUUUAUAAGACUUUAUAUUUGGAGUGAUUUGGAGACUGAAGAUAAAAUGUUUUCCCCAUCCCUAGCCUUGCCUGUCAUCUUCUGCCUUCCCACCAUCUCUUAGUAAUAGAUCAUUUUGAAAUUUUCAACACUAUAGGGAAGCAACUUCUUUGGAAUUAUGUUCAAUUUGAGUUGCCUGUUCUCUUUCAUGCUCUUUUCAGAAUUUUUAAAAUUACAUUUUUUGUCUUUUCUAAAAUCAAUCGAUAUGUCAACAGGAAAGAAUUUCUUCCCAAG